GNCCCGUGACCAGCGUUGUCCGGAUUUACUGGGCGUAAAGAGCGCGCAGGCGGUCGUUCAAGUCGAGCGUGAAAGCCCCCGGCUCAACUGGGGAGGGUCACUCGAUACUGAUCGACUUGAAGGCAGGAGAGGGAAGCGGAAUUCCCGGUGUAGGGGUGAAAUGCGUAGAUAUCGGGAGGAACACCAGUGGCGAAGGCGGCUUCCUGGCCUGUUCUUGACGCUGAGGCGCGAAAGCUAGGGGAGCAAACGGGAUUAGAUACCCCGGUAGUCCUAGCCGUAAACGAUGGACACUAGGUGUUGGUGGUAUCAACCCCACCAGUGCCGAAGCUAACGCAUUAAGUGUCCCGCCUGGGGAGUACGGCCGCAAGGCUA
rnacentral:rRNA from 1 species